UACGAAGGGGGCUAGCGUUGCUCGGAAUGACUGGGCGUAAAGGGCGCGUAGGCGGAUGGCACAGUCAGAUGUGAAAUUCCUGGGCUUAACCUGGGGGCUGCAUUUGAUACGUGUUGUCUAGAGUGAGGAAGAGGGUCGUGGAAUUCCCAGUGUAGAGGUGAAAUUCGUAGAUAUUGGGAAGAACACCGGUGGCGAAGGCGGCGACCUGGUCCUUGACUGACGCUGAGGCGCGAAAGCGUGGGGAGCAAACAG
rnacentral:rRNA from 1 species